UACGGAGGAUGCAAGCGUUAUCCGGAAUGAUUGGGCGUAAAGCGUCCGCAGGUGGCAAUGUAAGUCUGCUGUUAAAGAGUCUAGCUCAACUAGAUAAAAGCAGUGGAAACUACAUAGCUAGAGUACGUUCGGGGCAGAGGGAAUUCCUGGUGUAGCGGUGAAAUGCGUAGAGAUUGGAAAGAACACCGAUGGCGAAGGCACUUUACUGGGCUAUUACUAACACUCAGAGACGAAAGCUAGGGUAGCAAAUGGG
rnacentral:rRNA from 1 species